rnacentral:tRNA from 1 species
UAAAAAGGGGGGUACCGCCCGUAGGAAUUUGACUCCUAAAGUAAAAAUUAAACUUUUUCUUUUUA